CCAGAAUCCUCUGCGCCUGGCCCCGCCCCCAAGGAGCCUGCUCCAGCCUCGCACCUGCCUCGCACGCCAGGAGCCGACGCCAGACGGAAUAAAACCACAGCCUGCUACCCAGCCUGCCCACCAGUACGUCAAAUCCUGCCUCGCCAGCAGCGGGGCCUUGGUACUGCCCGCUAGCAGGCCACACACGUUCGAGACACCCCGGACCUGGUACCCAACCGUGUCAGGAAUUGGCCGCCCCCACCCCCUCCGCCCAGGUAUCCCACACCAGCCCUGGGACCGCUGGGCCCAGCAACUAGAUUCCCGAACCUGGCUCUGCCCUCCAGUAAGCAGCUCUGACCCAGGGCCUGGCUUCCCCCAACAGCCCCGAGUCUCCUGGACCCUGACUCCACCCAUGGGUGAGGCAGCACAGGCUCCGGGCCCCCUGAGAUCCGCCCUCAGUGCUUUGUGACCUGCUCUGCCAACCAGCGGCUGCAGCCUCCACGCAAGACAGGGCCUGGCUACCAACCAAGCCUACCAGACGGCCCUCAGGAUCCACACAGCCGUCUGAGGGGCCCCUAGAGCAUACGCCUCCGGUGACAAGAGGGCGGUGCACUGCUGGGUCGUCUCCUACCAAAGGCCGCUUCUCCGAGAUCCAGAAACAGAACCAACCUACCAGUUAUAUAAAAAUACAAACAGCCAUUUAGACAAAAACGAGGCGGCAGAGGAACACGUUCCAGACAAAAGAACAAGAUAACACCCCAGAAGAACCUAGUGACGUGGAGGCAGGCAGUCUACCCGAGAAUGGGUUCAGGGUGGUGGCGGUAAAGCUGACCCAAGAACUGGGGAGAAGAAUGGAUGCACAGUGCCAGCAAUUAAAAGAUACUAACAAAGAGAAAAUACAAAGAACAAGCCAGGCUGAGUACAAUAUCUGAAAUGAAAAAUCCACCAGGAAACCCUGAAACACCCUGAUAGGAGCAGUGGAAGCAAAGGUUCAGAAUGCCUUUAUGUUUAUAUUUAAACGUGUUAAAAUUAUCCUAUACAAAUGUGCUCAAAGGACAUGGUACCCAGAAAUGUGCCGCCUGGAUAUGUCCACUCAUAGUCCACAAAACAUGAUGUGUCAAGAGUGUGGCUUCUCACCUACCAGCUGUGUGAUCUUGGAUAAUACCAGAAGAUUUCAGCAUAGCAGAUAAAAUACAGCAAAUUCUAACCAGCAAAGGUUUUUGUGACAAGUGAGCCCAUUCCAAGAACAUAGAUGACUUCAUCAGGUGACCCCCGUCCCAUAGCAGCACCUGAAGGGCCACAGGAGGAAGAGCUCCCACUGACUGUGGGCCUGAAGAUGCAUCCAGGUACUUUGUACCUCUGUGGAUCCAGCUAUUGGAGGUUCAGUCCUGGGAGUAAUGACUGGAAUGAAUGUGAACAGAAGAGCUAUUCCUUAGGAGCCACAUGUGGGCCUCUGCAGAGAUCUGGACCAGCAGGGGCAUCCUUCCAGCAGUGGGACAGGGCCUGGACUGAACCACUCCUGGGCAGAAAGGUCACAGACUCGUGACUGAAGGAGCAGCCAUCCCCACCCAGAGCCCAUGGAUGAGAUGAGAUGAUUCAGUUCGCUAGCUCUUUCUCUUCCUGGUGUUUAAAAACAGAACUUAUCUCUUUGGACUGAAUAAACCUACUGGAGAUCGAGCUGUGGCUCAGUGGAUUAAGAACCCAAUAUAGUGUCCAUGAGAAUGCGGGUACAAUCCCUGGCCUCACUCAG